rnacentral:rRNA from 1 species
UACGUAGGGCGCAAGCGUUAUCCGGAAUUAUUGGGCGUAAAGGGCGUGCAGGCGGUCUGUUAAGUUCAGGGUGAAAGCUCCCGGCUCAACUGGGAGAGGUCCUUGGAUACUGGCAGACUUGAGGGAGGUAGAGGAGAGUGGAAUUCCCGGUGUAGUGGUGAUAUGCGUAGAUAUCGGGAGGAACACCAGUGGCGAAGGCGGCUCUCUGGGCCUUUCCUGACGCUGAGACGCGAAAGCGUGGGGAGCGAACCGG